rnacentral:rRNA from 1 species
UGGCGGACGGGUGAGUAACGCGUGGAUAACCUGCCGUAUACUGGGGGAUAACACUUAGAAAUAGGUGCUAAUACCGCAUAAGCGCACAGUCUCGCAUGAGACGGUGUGAAAAACUCCGGUGGUAUACGAUGGAUCCGCGUCUGAUUAGCUUGUUGGCGGGGUAACAGCCCACCAAGGCGACGAUCAGUAGCCGGCCUGAGAGGGUGAACGGCCACAUUGGGACUGAAACACGGCCCAAACUCCUACGGGAGGCAGCAG